rnacentral:rRNA from 1 species
UCACCACGGCGACGAUGCGUAGCCGACAUGAGAGGGUGAUCGGCCACACUGGGAUUGAGACACGGCCCAGACUCCUACGCGAGGCAGCAGUAGGGAAUCUUCCGCAAUGGACGAAAGUCUGACGGAGCAACGCCGCGUGAGUGAUGAAGGUUUUCGGAUCGUAAAGCUCUGUUGUUAGGGAAGAACAAGUGCAAGAGUAACUGCUUGCACCUUGACGGUACCUAACCAGAAAGCCACGGCUAACUACGUGCCAGCAGCCGCGGUAAUACGUAGGUGGCAAGCGUUGUCCGGAAUUAUUGGGCGUAAAGGGCUCGCAGGCGGUUUCUUAAGUCUGAUGUGAAAGCCCCCGGCUCAACCGGGGAGGGUCAUUGGAAACUGGGAAACUUGAGUGCAGAAGAGGAGAGUGGAAUUCCACGUGUAGCGGUGAAAUGCGUAGAGAUGUGGAGGAACACCAGUGGCGAAGGCGACUCUCUGGUCUGUAACUGACGCUGAGGAGCGAAAGCGUGGGGAGCGAACAGGAUUAGAUACCCUGGUAGUCCACGCCGUAAACGAUGAGUGCUAAGUGUUAGGGGGUUUCCGCCCCUUAGUGCUGCAGCUAACGCAUUAAGCACUCCGCCUGGGGAGUACGGUCGCAAGACUGAAACUCAAAGGAAUUGACGGGGGCCCGCACAAGCGGUGGAGCAUGUGGUUUAAUUCGAAGCAACGCGAAGAACCUUACCAGGUCUUGACAUCCUCUGACAACCCUAGAGAUAGGGCUUUCCCUUCGGGGACAGAGUGACAGGUGGUGCAUGGUUGUCGUCAGCUCGUGUCGUGAGAUGUUGGGUUAAGUCCCGCAACGAGCGCAACCCUUGAUCUUAGUUGCCAGCAUUCAGUUGGGCACUCUAAGGUGACUGCCGGUGACAAACCGGAGGAAGGUGGGGAUGACGUCAAAUCAUCAUGCCCCUUAUGACCUGGGCUACACACGUGCUACAAUGGACAGAACAAAGGGCUGCGAGACCGCAAGGUUUAGCCAAUCCCACAAAUCUGUUCUCAGUUCGGAUCGCAGUCUGCAACUCGACUGCGUGAAGCUGGAAUCGCUAGUAAUCGCGGAUCAGCAUGCCGCGGUGAAUACGUUCCCGGGCCUUGUACACACCGCCCGUCGCACCACGAGAGUUUGCA